rnacentral:rRNA from 1 species
GACGAACGCUGGCGGCGUGCUUAACACAUGCAAGUCGAACGGUAAGGCCCUUCGGGGUACACGAGUGGCGAACGGGUGAGUAACACGUGGGUGAUCUUCCCUGCACUUCGGGAUAAGCCUGGGAAACUGGGGCUAAUACCGGAUAGGACCACUGCCUGCAUGGGUGGUGGUGGAAAGCUUUUGCGGUGUGGGAUGGGCCCGCGGCCUAUCAGCUUGUUGGUGGGGUGAUGGCCUACCAAGGCGACGACGGGUAGCCGGCCUGAGAGGGUGACCGGCCACACUGGGACUGAGAUACGGCCCAGACUCCUACGGGAGGCAGCAGUGGGGAAUAUUGCACAAUGGGCGCAAGCCUGAUGCAGCGACGCCGCGUGAGGGAUGACGGCCUUCGGGUUGUAAACCUCUUUCAGCACCGACGAAGCGCAAGUGACGGUAGGUGCAGAAGAAGGACCGGCCAACUACGUGCCAGCCGCCGCGGUAA